AGAAGGCCCCAAACAAGGUCAGGAUCCCUCCUGCACUGCACUGUGCAAGCCCCUGCUGAGAAAGAGUCCCAGUUCUUAAAGCAUUUAAAUAGAUACAUCAAUCAGAGAGCAAUAAAAUGGCUCACAGCCAAAUUAGAUGAGCAGGACAUUUAAAUUCCUGGUGCUCCAAGUCUCCUGCCCAGUGAAGGUGGUUCCAGCCCUCUCUGCAGAGCCACAGCUGGCUGGGAGUUGUCUGGUCACUAGAAUCAGCAAAAAACUUAGGAGGAAAAGCUGCAAUAUGUUUCCCCCAUGACUGGGAAAAAUUCUGCAAGUCUUACGUUUUCUCAGCUCAUCCCACUACAUCUAUUUACUCAACUCAUAAAGAUUUGAAGGAACAUGAGUAAAGGACUGGAAAAUUACACUGAAAAAGAAUCAGAGCAACUGAGUGUCAGGAGAGCAAACACCACAAGAAACAACAAAGAAAGAAAAACACUCAUGUGAUGA